AAUAUAGGUAUCAUAAACGAUAUGGAGUAUACAAUUAAGUAAUAAAAGGGAUUCGUAAGGAUACCUAGCAGAUAUAUUCAAAAGGAUAUAUUUAUAGAAAGUUAAAGUGAAUAAUUUGAAAACUUUGACAAUCCUAAGGAAAACCAAAUAUGGUAAAAUACGUUGGGAAUUAAAACAUUUUAGUACCAAUAGGAAAGGAAAUCAAACGAGACUUCUGGAGUAAUGGUGAGUGAAACAGAAUGAGCCUUAUUACUAGUAUUAUACUUAAAAAAGAACUUGUAAAUAUUGUGGAAUUCAAUAACAUGGAAGUAAUUCCUAACCAAAGACGGUGACAGUCCGGAUAUACAAUGUAUAGCUAAUAGCUAUCUCGUUCUUGUAUAAUACUGUAAUAUUUUAAGUAAUAUGAAGACGGCUGCUUUGUAUGAAUUAAAUGGGAUACCAUUCUCAAAGGCUAAGUAUAAUAUAUCUAGCGAUAGUGAAGAGUAACGUGAGUGAAAGGUGAAAAGUAAGUGUAUGACUAGUGAAAUAGAUCUUGAAUUACGAAUCUUAUAAGCAGUUAGAGUCGAAUAGUAUUCGAUGAUAACGUACCUUUUGCAUAAUGGGUCAGCAAGUUAAUUUUUAAUGCAAGAUGAAAAAUCUUAGUGAAAACGUCUAGGUGUAUAAACACUUGGGUUAAGUAUUGAAAAUUAGAUCCGAAACCAGAUGAUCUUUUUAUGACCAGGUUUUAAAGGACCGAACACCUGAAUGUUGCAGUAUUCUGUGAUGAGUUGUGAAAAGGGGUGAAAUGCUAAUCUAAUCUGGUGAUAGCUGAUAUUCUGCGAAAUCUAUUUUAGUAGAAAGUAUUUGGAGAUAUAUCUUUGUAUAGCACUGAUUUCCAUUUCUCUUCGGAUACGUUCCGAUAAUAGAAUAAAUUAGGGGGUUAUAAACUCUACUAUUGGAAGUUAACCUCAGAAGAAGAUAUUUAAAACCUUUCAGGUUUUAAUAUUAAAAUUAAAAAUAAUUUUAAAUAUCGCUCAAGUACUGACAGUCUGUUUGUGAUAAGGUAAAUGGACAAGAGGGAAACAGCCCAGAUCAUAUAUUAAGGUGCCCAAAAUAAUAUUAAGUGAAAAUAAGAGAGUUUUGUGUCUAAUACAACUAUGAAGUAAGCUUGGAAGUAGCUAUCUUUUAAUGAAAGUGUAACAACUCAAUAGUCUAAAUUCCCUUUGGGAAUCCAGUAAACCCCGUGAGGGGAGUACUAAGUGAUACAAAGCAUCGAAGAUUUAUCGGGUCUAGAUAUUAAACCUAAAUUAUGAUAUUAAUUGAUUGGAAUAUCUAUUUCCAACGUUAAUAAGGUAGCAGAACACUUAGUAGUUAGGUUGAAGAGUAUUAUUAAUAAUACUUGGACUCUACUAAAGAGAGAAUGCUGGCAUGAGUAACGAUUAAGAAGUUAAAAUACUUCUCGCCGAAUACGAAAGGUUUUCAUGAAAAAGGUGAUCUGUCAUGAUUUAAACGGAUUCUAAGGUAGAAUAGACGAAUUGUUAUUCUCCGAUGAAAUGGGAGAGGAAUAUUCCAAUUUAAGGAACAAGAAAAAUACUCUCUUAAUUUAUUAUAUCCGUACCUUAAACCGACACAGGUUCGUAGGUAGAGUAUACUAAGGCGUAGAGAUAAGGCUAGUGAAGGAACUCGGCAAAAUGCUUCCGUAAGUUCGACGAUAAGGAAGGGAGUGUAUUUAAGUACAGCUUUAUACACUCUAGCAUUAAAGUGAGGGCUUCGACUGUUUACUAAAAACACAGCAACUUGCUAAGACGAAAAGUACUUGUAUAAGUUGUGAACUCUGUCCAAUGCCAAUCCGUGUAAAGGAGGUAAUUUUAGGAAACUAAAUGUUACUAACUGAUGCGGUGGUCAAUGACGGUCUUAACCAUAAGGAUCUGAAAGUAGCAGCGAAAUUCCUUGGCCAUUAAAUGUGGUCCUGCAUGAAUGAGGUAACGCGGCCCUGCUGUCUCCACUAGCUCCUCAGUGAAAUUGAAUUAGCCGUGCAGAUGCGGUUUGCCUUCCGGAGGACGCGAAGACCCUAUGCAGCUUUACUGUAAUUUGAUAUUGUUUUUGAUUGGAUUUAGUGUAGAAUACAAGGGAGUGUAAACGUCAGUGAAAUACCUUGAUAAGUCACAAUUAAAAACUAACUUCGACGACUAGCGCGUCUAGGAUGCGUCCUAGAGGCUCAUAGUAGAAGGACAGUUUCAGAGGGUCAGUUUUACUGGGGCGGUAGCCUCUAAGAAAGUAUCAGAGGCCUUCAAAGGUAUAUUUAUAUUGGUCAGAAACCAAUGGACAUUUAUCGUCCGUCAAAGUGUAAUGAUAAAAUAUGCUUGACUGAAAGACUGAUAGGUCGAUCAGCUACGCAAGUAGGACAUAGUGAUCCGGUGAUUCAUAAUGGAAUGAUCAUCGCUCAAGAAAUAAAAGUUACGCUAGGGAUAACAGGUUUAUCGUUUGCAAGAGUUCAUAUUGUCCAAACGGUUUGACACCUCGAUGUCGACUCAUCUCAUCCUCCAGGUGUAGUAGCUUGGAAGGGUUCAGCUGUUCGCUGAAUAAAGAGGUACGUGAGUUGG
rnacentral:rRNA from 1 species